rnacentral:rRNA from 1 species
UACGUAGGGGGCUAGCGUUGUCCGGAAUCAUUGGGCGUAAAGAGCGUGUAGGCGGCCCGGUAAGUCCGCUGUGAAAGUCGGGGGCUCAACCCUCGAAUGCCGGUGGAUACUGUCGGGCUAGAGUGCGGAAGAGGCGAGUGGAAUUCCUGGUGUAGCGGUGAAAUGCGCAGAUAUCAGGAGGAACACCGAUUGCGAAGGCAGCUCGCUGGGACGUCACUGACGCUGAGACGCGAAAGCGUGGGGAUCAAACAGG